CUUUCAACAUGGUGCACGGCUAACACUUCCCUGAAGGUCAGCGCCAAAUUGCUCCCAUUUCAAAAGGCAGUGGCUGGCUGAGAAGGACAGCUGCUGGGAAUUACAGUGCAAGAGAAUUAUGGACGGCCUCUACAUUCGAGUCACGUCCAUAUGAGGAACCGGACUGUGUCUAUACCUGGCAGCAGCCGCCUUGAGCAGAGUUCAACCUCACUGGCAUCUCCUGAAAAUAGUGAAAAGGAACCUAAAGUCAAGAUGCAUUACUUGCUCAAGGUCAAAAUAAGCAGAGACGCCAUAGAAAAUCCUUGGCUGGUCACUGUAGGAGGAA